CCUACGGGAGGCAGCAGUGAGGAAUAUUGGUCAAUGGACGAGAGUCUGAACCAGCCAAGUAGCGUGAAGGAUGACUGCCCUAUGGGUUGUAAACUUCUUUUAUAUGGGAAUAAAAUGUUCCACGUGUGGGAUUUUGUAUGUCCCAUAUGAAUAAGGAUCGGCUAACUCCGUGCCAGCAGCCGCGGUAAUACGGAGGAUCCGAGCGUUAUCCGGAUUGAUUGGGUUUAAAGGGAGCGUAGGUGGAUUGUUAAGUCAGUUGUGAAAGUUUGCGGCUCAACCGUAAAAUUGCAGUUGAAACUGGCAGUCUUGAGUACAGUAGAGGUGGGCGGAAUUCGUGGUGUAGCGGUGAAAUGCUUAGAUAUCACGAAGAACUCCGAUUGCGAAGGCAGCUCACUGGACUGCAACUGACACUGAGGCUCGAAAGUGUGGGUAUCAAACAGGAUUAGAUACCCUUGUAGUC
rnacentral:rRNA from 1 species